GGGCCCGUAGUAUAGCUUGGACAGAACGCGGGGCUUCGGACCCCGAGACGUCGGUUCAAAUCCGGCCGGGCUCG
rnacentral:tRNA from 1 species